UUACUUUUAUUACUUUUAGAGCAUACUGGCCAGACGCAAUUUAAAACCCCAUAAAGAUUUGCCUAUUCCUCAAUGUCUAAUACAUACUCGUAUACAAACUUUGCGUUUGCCAUACAUCAAGCAUUCAAAGCUACGGAUUAAGAAUAUGGUUGCCUUACAAGGCGAGUCAGGAUGUAGAUUUUCAAAAGAACUAGAAGAUCAUCGACCUCAGCGAUCGCCCUGGCUCUGCGAUGACAGUUUUUCAUCCUGACAAAAUCGAUCAUUGUUUAAAGAUCAAGGCUAAUAUUUUGUUAUAUAAGCUUCGCAUUAUUAGAGCUUUGUAUGAUUCAGUAAGCUGCAUCGCUCUAUCAACAUGUUCGCUAAAAUCUUCGCUCUCUUCGCUCUGUUGGCGGUGGCCUUCGCUGCGCCCAGCCCCAACCCCAAGCCCCAGGUGCUGGCCUACUCCGCUGGACUUGACUACGGCUACAUCCCUUCUGCUGGCGUGGUUCCCUCAGUGUACUCAGCUUACUCCCCCGUCGCCUACUCCGCAUACCCGGCUGCCCCUACUGUCUACGUUCGGUGAAGACUGACCUGUAUACUACAAGCUUCAGACCACUAUUCAAUUCAAACAUGAAUCCAACCGAUUGUAAUGCAAUAAUUUCAAGCAAAUAAAAUUAUAUCAAACAA
rnacentral:lncRNA from 1 species